rnacentral:pre_miRNA from 1 species
AUAUAGGGCCCAAUCCAAAGAUCACUGAAGUCAAUGGAAGUCUUUCCAUUGUUUUCAAUGGGCUUUGGAUCAGGCCCAUAAAGU